UCGAGCGGACUAAUGGGAGCUUGCUCCCAGAGGUUAGCGGCGAACGGGUGAGUAACACGUGGGCAACCUGCCCUGUAGACUGGGAUAACAUCGAGAAAUCGGUGCUAAUACCGGAUAAUAAUAGGAACUGCAUAGUUCUCAUUUAAAAGAUGGCUCCGGCUAUCACUACAGGAUGGGCCCGCGACGCAUUAGCUAGUUGGUAAGGUAACGGCUUACCAAGGCGACGAUGCGUAGCCGACCUGAGAGGGUGAUCGGCCACACUGGGACUGAGACACGGCCCAGACUCCUACGGGAGGCAGCAGUAGGGAAUCUUCCGCAAUGGACGAAAGUCUGACGGAGCAACGCCGCGUGAGUGAUGAAGGGUUUCGGCUCGUAAAGCUCUGUUGUUAGGGAAGAACAAGUGCCGUUCAAAUAGGGCGGCACCUUGACGGUACCUAACCAGAAAGCCACGGCUAACUACGUGCCAGCAGCCGCGGUAAUACGUAGGUGGCAAGCGUUGUCCGGAAUUAUUGGGCGUAAAGCGCGCGCAGGCGGUCUUUUAAGUCUGAUGUGAAAUCUCGGGGCUCAACCCCGAGCGGUCAUUGGAAACUGGGAGACUUGAGUACAGAAGAGGAGAGUGGAAUUCCACGUGUAGCGGUGAAAUGCGUAGAUAUGUGGAGGAACACCAGUGGCGAAGGCGACUCUCUGGUCUGUAACUGA
rnacentral:rRNA from 1 species